rnacentral:rRNA from 1 species
UGAGGAAUAUUGCACAAUGGGGGAAACCCUGAUGCAGCAACGCCGCGUGAAGGAUGAAGGCCUUCGGGUUGUAAACUUCUUUUCUGGGGGAAGAGAGAGGACGGUACCCCAGGAAAAAGUCACGGCUAACUACGUGCCACCAGCCGCGGUAAUACGUAGGUGGCGAGCGUUAUCCGGAAUUACUGGGCGUAAAGCGCACGCAGGCGGUUAUCCAAGUCUGACGUGAAAGCUCCUGGCUUAACUGGGAGAGGUCGUUAGAGACUGGGUAACUUGAGGUGGUGAGAGGGGUGUGGAAUUCCCGGUGUAAUGGUGGAAUGCGUAAAGAUCGGGAGGAACACCAGUGGCGAAAGCGGCACCCUGGCACUAACCUGACGCUCAGGUGCGAAAGCGUGGGGAGCGAACGGGAUUAGAUACCCCGGUAGUCCACACUGUAAACAAUGAGUACUAGGUGUAGGCAGUAUCGACCCUGUCUGUGCCGAAUCCAACGCGAUAAGUACUCCGCCUGGGGACUACGGCCGCAAGGUUA